AUCUAUUUAGGAGUGAUUUGGUAGUUUUUUUUUCGGAACUGUAAAGGUAGUGGGAGUAUAUUGUAUAGGUUACUUUUGGUAUCAAGGAAGUUUAAAUUUUUGUUUGUGAGUGAAUCCCGAAGGCAGUAGAGUUAUAAAUAUAGCUGUGUAUUUGUUGGAAAAAAUAUUUUUAAUGUGUUUAUAGUGAGGAUAUCUUAGUCAAUAUUGUUAUAGCUGGUUGUUGGGAAAACAAAGCGUUUGUUUAGUUUAAAAAAAAUGUUUAUAUCAAAGGUUUAAGUUUUUGAUAUAGUAGUAGAUAGAAUGUUAGUGUUUAAGUAGUUAAUUAUUUAAAGUGAUAUUAUGAGAUCUAUGCAGUGUAUUUAUAAUGAAUAAAAUAUGUAAAUAAUAAAUUUAUUAGUAUAGAUGUGUGUAUGUAAUUAUAUAGAUUUAAGGUUGUUUGUUGUGUGGUAUACAAAAUGAACUAGGCAAAAUUAAGUGUUUGACUGUUUAACAAAAACAUUUCUUUUUGUAAAUAUAAAAGGUAGGCUCUGUUCAAUGAUGACUUAAAUUACCGCAGUAUUUUAAUUGUGCAAAGGUAGCAUAGUAAUUUUUUCUUUAAAUGGGAGGUAGUAUGAAUGAGUGUACAAAAUAUAAUCUGUGUUUUGUGUAUAUGUAUAAUUUUCUUUGUUGGUAAAAAAGCUAACUUUUACUAAAGGGACGACAAGACCCUAAAAACUUAGGUAAAAUUAAUUAUAAAUUAUUUUUGUUUAGCUGGGGAGGCUUGAGUCAGAAACGACAAGUGUUAAAACAUCGUGAGUGGGUUUAAUGAUCUUUUUUGAAAGAUUGAGGUAAGUUACUUUAGGGAUAACAGCGUAAUCGUAUUUGGGAGUUCAUAUCUAAGAUAUGUUUGCGACCUCGAUGUUGAAUUAAAUAGUCUUUUUGGAGUAAAAAAUAAAUGAGUGAGUUUGUUCAACUCUUAAAUAUUUACAUGAUUUGAGUUCAGACCGGUGUAAGCCAGGUUGGUUUCUAUCUUUUAGUAGGUGAUGUUUUUAGGUUGUACGAAAGGAUCCUUAAGACAAUUUAAAAUUAUUCUGAUGUGA
rnacentral:rRNA from 1 species